rnacentral:rRNA from 1 species
AUUGAACGCUGGCGGAAUGCUUUACACAUGCAAGUCGAACGGCAGCACGGACUUCGGUCUGGUGGCGAGUGGCGAACGGGUGAGUAAUGUAUCGGAACGUGCCCAGUCGUGGGGGAUAACGUAGUGAAAAUUACGCUAAUACCGCAUACGAUCUAUGGAUGAAAGCGGGGGAUCGCAAGACCUCGCGCGAUUGGAGCGGCCGAUAUCAGAUUAGGUAGUUGGUGGGGGAAAGGCCCACCAAGCCCACGAUCUGUAGCUGGUCUGAGAGGACGACCAGCCACACUGGAACUGAGACACGGUCCAGACUCCUACGGGAGGAAGCAGUGGGGAAUUUUGGAAGAUGGGCGGAAGCCUGAUCCAGCCAUGCCGCGUGCAGGAUGAAGGCCCUCGUGUUGUAAACUGCUUUUGUACAGAACGAAAAGGUUUCUACUAAUACUAGGAGCUCAUGACGGUACUGUAAGAAUAAGCACCGGCUAACUCCGUGCAAGCCGCCGCCGUAA